AUUGAACGCUGGCGGCAGGCUUAACACAUGCAAGUCGAGCGGGCGAGGUUGCUUCGGUAACUGAGCUAGCGGCGGACGGGUGAGUAAUGCUUAGGAAUCUGCCUAUUAGUGGGGGACAACAUUCCGAAAGGAAUGCUAAUACCGCAUACGCCCUACGGGGGAAAGCAGGGGAUCUUCGGACCUUGCGCUAAUAGAUGAGCCUAAGUCAGAUUAGCUAGUUGGUGGGGUAAAGGCCUACCAAGGCGACGAUCUGUAGCGGGUCUGAGAGGAUGAUCCGCCACACUGGGACUGAGACACGGACCAGACUCCUACGGGAGGCAGCAGUGGGGAAUAUUGGACAAUGGGCGCAAGCCUGAUCCAGCCAGGCCGCGUGUGUGAAGAAGGCCUUUGGGUUGUAAAGCACUUUAAGCGAGGAGGAGGCUACUUGGAUUAAUACUCUAGGAUAGUGGACGUUACUCGCAGAAUAAGCACCGGCUAACUCCGUGCCAGCCGCCGCCGUAAUAC
rnacentral:rRNA from 1 species